CGCAUGUCACACCCUGGCCUGACAAAAUAAAUACUAAGACCAAGGCGUGACAUCAAGCCUCUACUCAUUCUAAUCAAUCUAGGUGCUCAGGCUCAUUCCAGGGCUCUGCCCCUCAUGUCCCUCAACUUGCUGUCUGUGGAGAAUAAUGUUUUGAUGCUGACGGAUAUUCACAUGCUGUUAACUAACCAAAGUGUUGUGCGUCCAUUGGAAUGUGCCCUUUGUGCGGCAUUGGAAAUGCUACCUGGUCGUUGUGGUUAUAUCUGUGUGGGAUACAGAUGAGUUCCAUCUGCUCUGACUCUGGUCCCUGUCUCCAGCCCCACGUCUCCUCAGUCCUGCCACCCUACCCACAACACCCACUCCACUGCUUCCUUGGAUUCUGCUCUGGACCUACUUACCAAGCCCCAACUCCCCUCGCUCCAGCCUCAGCCUCAGAACCUGGCUUCCUGCAAAUCGCCCAAGCUUCCCCUGACCUGCACACCAUCUUUCCCCUACUUAAAAAGAAAACCUUGGAACCUUGGAUACCUUAUCCCUAUCUCCUCAUCUGAGUCUGCUCUUGGGUUCACCUGCUCCUUGUAACACCUAGUUCCUGCCGGACAAACAGGUUUUUUUCACGGCUGUCAUCUGAGGAGAGACAAUACCCCACUAUGCAGCAGCUAAGAAGGAAUUACAAAUGGUGUAAAACCUCCAUUAGCAGUACUGGUUGAUUUACAGAGGCCAGUGCUGAGGUCUAAUGUAACAACUGGAAAGUCAAGGCCAUAUUUAGCAUGCAAGUAAUGAAUCACCACGACACUAUGAUGAAGUGUGGGGGGGGGGACUUCUGCUUGAACGAAUACAUUAAAAUGCAAGACACAUUGGGCAAACAUUUGACUUUCAACAAAACAGAAAAAGGAUAAAUCUCAUCAGGGCAAUGUGAUGGUACGCAGGUUAUCUUUUUGUCCUUCACCAUAGUGGAAUACAUUUUUUCUUCCUCAUUUUAGGUAAUGUAUUUCUUGUAAUACAUGAAUCAAAUAUCACCUUCACAUUUCCUGUUAAAUCAUUGUAUGCUCAAAUUAUCAUAAUGGGGCAAAUCCAUGCUUGUCAUAAGGUGAAUUUGCCCUCAGCAUAAACUCUCCAAACUUGAGUGACUGUUUUGACCAAUUCUGUAAGCAAUGAACAACAUUUUAGCAUCAACUACCCAAAAGGCAGUAUGACAGAGAAAGGAAGAUAC